rnacentral:rRNA from 1 species
GAUGAACGCUGGCGGCGUGCCUAACACAUGCAAGUCGAACGGGGUUGUUCCUUCGGGGACGACUUAGUGGCGAACGGGUGAGUAACGCGUGAGGAACCUACCUCUCAGUGGGGGACAACAGUUGGAAACGACUGCUAAUACCGCAUAAAGUUUUCGGACCGCAUGAUCCGGAAACCAAAGAUUUAUCGGUGUAAGAUGGCCUCGCGUCUGAUUAGCUAGUUGGUGAGGUAACGGCUCACCAAGGCGACGAUCAGUAGCCGACUUGAGAGAGUGAUCGGCCACAUUGGGACUGAGACACGGCCCAAACUCCUACGGGAGGCAGCAGUAGGGAAUAUUGCACAAUGGGGGAAACCCUGAUGCAGCGACGCCGCGUGAAGGAUGAAGUAUUUCGGUAUGUAAACUUCUAUCAGCAAGGAAGAAAAUGACGGUACUUGACUAAGAAGCCCCGGCUAAAUACGUG